rnacentral:rRNA from 1 species
UACGUAGGGUGCAAGCGUUAAUCGGAAUUACUGGGCGUAAAGCGUGCGCAGGCGGUUGUGUAAGACAGAUGUGAAAUCCCCGGGCUCAACCUGGGAACUGCAUUUGUGACUGCACAGCUGGAGUGCGGCAGAGGGGGAUGGAAUUCCGCGUGUAGCAGUGAAAUGCGUAGAUAUGCGGAGGAACACCGAUGGCGAAGGCAAUCCCCUGGGCCUCCACUGACGCUCAUGCACGAAAGCGUGGGGAGCAAACAGG